rnacentral:rRNA from 1 species
ACGGGAGGCAGCAGUGAGGAAUAUUGGUCAAUGGAGGCAACUCUGAACCAGCCAUCUCGCGUGAAGGAAUACGGCCCUAUGGGUCUUAAACUUCUUUUAUAGGGGGAUAAAGUGAGGCAUGUAUGCCUUUUUGUAGGUACCCUAUGAAUAAGCAUCGGCUAACUCCGUGCCAGCAGCCGCGGUAAUACGGAGGAUGCGAGCGUUAUCCGGAUUUAUUGGGUUUAAAGGGUGCGUAGGCGGGAUGUUAAGUCAGCGGUAAAAUAGUGUAGCUCAACUAUACUUCGCCGUUGAAACUGGCGUUCUUGAGUGUAAACGAGGUAGGCGGAAUGUGACGUGUAGCGGUGAAAUGCUUAGAUAUGUCACAGAACCCCGAUUGCGAAGGCAGCUUACCAGGAUACAACUGACGCUGAGGCACGAAAGCGUGGGUAUCAAACAGGAUUAGAUACCCUGGUA